GGGUUUGAUUCAUGCUCAGUUAGCAUGCAACGUUUGGUGGUUUACACAUGUGAGGGAUUAUAUCCCGUACGGGUGAGUA
rnacentral:rRNA from 1 species